GCGGUAAUACUGGCAGAACGAGUGGUGCCCACGAAUAUUGGGUCUAAAGAGACCGUAGCUGGCCUGUUAAGUCCACUGUGAAAUCUUGGGGCUCAACCUCAAGGCGUGCAGUGGAUACUGGCAGGCUUGAGAGCGGGGGAGGUCAGGGGUACUUACGGGGUAUGAGUAAAAUCAGUUGAUCCUGUAAGGACCACCAGUGGCGAAGGCGCCUGACCAAAACGCGUCUGACAGUGAGGGUCGAAGGCUAGGAGAACGAAUCGGAUUAGAUACCCGAGUAGCCCUAGCAGUAAAUUAUGCAGACUGUGGUGUUGCUGUGGCUUCGGGCCACAGCAGUGCUGUAGCGUAGGUGUUAAGUCUGCCACCUGGGGAGUACGGCCGCAAGGUUGAAACCUAAGGGAAUUGGCGGGGGAGCACCACAAGGGGUGGAUGCUGCGGUUCAAUUGGAUUCAACGCC
rnacentral:rRNA from 1 species